AGCAGCCGCGGUAAUUCCAGCUCCAAUAGCGUAUAUUAAAGUUGUUGCAGUUAAAAAGCUCGUAGUUGAAUUUCGGGGUUAGCAGGUCGGUCGUGCCAUCGGUAUGAACUGGUCUCGCUGAUCCCUCCCCCUUGACGAACUGUGAUGCCAUUAAUUUGGUGUCGCAGGGAAUCAGGACUGUUACUUUGAAAAAAUUAGAGUGUUUAAAGCAGGCUCACGCUUGAAUACAUUAGCAUGGAAUAAUGAAAUAGGACGUUUGAUCCUAUUUUGUUGGUUUCUAGGAUCAACGUAAUGAUUAAUAGGGAUAGUUGGGGGCAUUAGUAUUCAAUUGUCAGAGGUGAAAUUCUUGGAUUUAUUGAAGACUAACUACUGCGAAAGCAUUUGCCAAGGAUGUUUUCAUUAAUCAAGAACGAAAGUUAGGGGAUCGAAGACGAUCAGAUACCGUCGUAGUCUUAACCAUAAACUAUGCCGACUAGGGAUCGGACGAUGUUUAAUUUUUAAUUGACUCAUUCGGCGUCCG
rnacentral:rRNA from 1 species